ensembl:lncRNA
AGGUUAAAAGUUUUAGCUUUUUAUUUUUGGACUUUUUUGGACUUUUGGAUUACGGGAGUUACUGUGCAUGACUGUAAAUCUCCUCUAUUGGGCUGCCUCCAGAAACACUGCGACCAAUCAGGAACCUCCACCGUGCCCCAUCCCCCAGCAAGCUCCUCGGCCCAGUCUGAGCAGCCAGUCAGGGGGCCACUGAGCUGUGGCACGUCGAACCGCAUUACCCAAAAUUCCCUGUGUAUCCCCAAGGCUCGACUACGUUGGGAGUGUGUUGUGUCGUCUGAGGCCUGUCUGCAAGCUUGGGGCAUCAAUAUUGAUCACUGUCCUGUCAACAUACCCAAUCAAGUUGGCCUCAGUCAAUGAUUCCUUAUUUUUAAAGAAUCGAUGCAUGGAAGACAGUGAACAUGUGACGCACUCCUUCAGACAGCUGAUUGACAGCAAGUCGCCCCCGUGGCAGAAAAUCCAUGGCCUUCUUCCCUCACCUUUACUCGGACUGCUGUCUCUCUGCUGCUGAUUUAUUGUGAUGCUAAUUUGAUUUUGGCUCACUGGCCUCCCACUUCUUUCUGCUGUUACCUUCGAGAGGGCUGGAUAAGUCUCCUUCUGCUGGUUUUGGCAUUAUACUAAAAAAAGUGAGAGUUUUUUUACGGGGAGGGAAAGUGACUUACUUUUUGUUUAAGAUGUACAGAUGGAAAUUAGAUUGUUUAUUAAACAAUGACUGAAGCUGAGGUCAUGUGAAGAGCUUUACAUUUUAAAGUAAGUGCGGUAAUGCGCGGUGACCCAGUUAUAUUGGACCGCAAUCAAAUAUAAAACCGAUCAAAAAAUUGAAAGCAGUAAUUGUUUUGGUCAGUCGAUGGAUUUAAUGGUCAGUGAUGACACUGUAUUAUGUAGUCUUGUCUAGAGUAUUGUGCAACAAAUUGUCAUUGUCUGAUUAUAUUUAUUGUUAUUCAUAUUAGUUGUUUUUUGUUCACCUCCUUUAUGUUUCUAAUUUCCCCAGUUCCUCUGUCACUCUGUACAUGUCCUCAUGUUUACCUGCGUUAUUUGUACUUUAGCUAUUUUCUGUUUUAUUUUGAAGGUUAAUGUUUUCAUUGGUAUUUCUCAUUGGUACUUCCUUUGUUAGAUUUCCCUCCUUGCUGAUUGUCUGACUUGCCCUUAGUGGUUCCAGCUGUUCUCAAUUACUUCCCUGUGUAUUUAAAAUCCUGUCUCUCCUUCAGUCUUUUGUCAGUCUGCUCUCCUUGUGCUUUUGUUCCUGUUUCCUGUGGUUGCCUUUCCUGGAUUCCUUUUUUCUUUGAAUCAAACCUCUUGUCAUUGUGUUUCUCUGUACUUUUUGUCUGUGUGUGUGUGUAUGUUUUUAUCGGCAUAUUAUUAAAAUUCAAAUUUUGUUGGCUCAAUCUGCUUCUUCUGUCUGCAUUUGGAUUUUGAUAACUCAUGACAUAAAUGUACAAUGCCUAAUGUGAAUGGGACACAGAAGGUCACAGCCCAUUGAGGCGAGGUCAAAGUCAUCUUAUAGCCCUUUUCCACUAGUACUUACUUGGCUCGCCUCAACUCUGCUUGACAAGGUUUUUAUGUUUCUCCAUUAAGUGGUAGUACGUGGAACCAGGUACUUUUUUAGUACCUACUCAGCCAGGGUUUUAAGCAAUCUGAGUCGACAAAAACGUGAAAUCUACAGACUGCAUGGCACCAAUUGGCCAAUCAGUGGCAUAAUUCAGUUAGUCAUGAGAGCUACUCCGUCACAAAAAUCAAAACUACCAUGAGGAAAAUGGCUAUACAAAAACCAAAUGUGACAAAAAAAACAUACUUCAAGCAGCAGGUAUACCAUCACCUCAACCUCCUCCACGGUUGUUUUGUGUUUGUGUCACAUAAUAAAUGAAUCACAGGCUUUUGAGCAUUUUGCUGUAACAAGCCCAAACACAUUGAGGUUGUACUCAGUUGUAAUGUAAAACUGAAUAAAGUCAAGCUGAGUAAGCCAAACAGGUACUAAUGGAAAUGGAAAAAGAGGCUUUAUUACUGUAUUAGACAGUGCAACUUACGCACAUGAAGGUUUGCAUCUAUAUUGUGACAACAUCAUUUUGUCUAGCAACCACCUAGCAUUUAUUCAAAUAAAACACCUUAAAUAAGCAUUGUAUCAUUUUUAUUUCACACCAGUGAUUUCUAAUUUAUAUCCCCCAAAACUUCACUUAAGCAUGAGAUAUUAUGACGCCAUUAGGCUGCCUGGCAACCACCUGGCAACAGGGUAAAAUGACCUGUUUUUUGCCUUCAUGCAUCUAAAGACAUUAAAAGCAUAGUCUAAUUUUAUUUCACUCCUAAGAUCACAAACACAUCAUAUUGUUUAAUUUCAUGACAGUAACAUCUCAUUUAUGUCCACAAAAACUGAAUUAUAUAUUACAUAACGUCAUCAUGUUAUCUACCAACCACCUAGCAAUGGGCUAAUAUGACUGUGGCAAAGGACCCAACGCACAAAACGUUGCAAGAGGGUUCAAUGCUUGUUUACAAUAGUUUUGUUUUUUUUAUCUCCACUUUUGUGGUUGUGCAGCUUUUCAGCUGAUGUCUGCAGCAUAGCACAACUAGCACACACAGCACCCCAUUAGGUCCUGGUGCCCUACUCAAAAUGAAAGGCAUGAUUAGAUGAUGGCGGUCAGGCUUGUGGUUCAGCCUCCCUUGACACCAGACCCUGAACCUGCUGCUCCCCCCCCUCCCUUACAGCUGAGCCACAAACCACACCCUGCCACAAUGACCCUUUUUUGCGUUUAUUCACCCACAGCACCUUAAAAAGCACUGUAUCAUUUAAUUCCACUAUCCACGUCACGAAAAGGCCAACGGUACUUGAGCAUAGACACUAGUGAUACAUAAUAAGUGGUUGCAAAUCUUUAGUGGUCAUUAACUGGCUGUAGUCUCCAACCCCUAGAGAUCAGCAGAUAAUUAGUAUCUUGCUUUGAGAAGCUCUCCUAGAUCAGCUUUUAUCUUGAAUCUAGAUUUUAGUAAAUGAAACACAUGCCCUACUGAAUUACA